CAAAAGGGUCGUUAGAAAGCCACCCGCGUCCUUCAACACCAGAAGUCCCUCCCUGGGGGUCAGGACCGGAGUCUUCCACUGUAGAAGCUGCAAGCCCCACGUUGAAUCGGACCCUUUUCCUCCAGUGGGACCUGAGAGCAGGGACAAAACGGGACGUCGCGUCUCCAUCCUGAAGACCCAGGGGGUCUUGGUCUCUGCACGCCCGUCCCGUGGAGGAAGAGUGAGAAGGGGCAGCAUGUGCAGCGCAAGCUGCCGUCCGCGUGGGAUGCGCCAGGACUAGAACUGGCUCUGCCGACUCUCGGGGGCUUCUCUGGGAGAGGCCCGGCCUUGGCUGCUGGACCCUGGUCCCUCCUCCUGGACGGCAGUCCUCAUCCCAGUUCCAGGGAUGUGCAGCAUUCCCUGCCAAGCAGGGGUGAGAACUGCUUCUGUGUGAAGCACCAGCCUCGGGUCCUCUCCUCUCUCUUGGUCCUCACAGUAGUUGCCACCAGUGUCUGGAGGAAGAUUUUCAGAAACGACAGAGGCAUGGCCCAGUGACAAGAUGAAGGCUGUGACUGAGCCGCCUGGAUGGUGACCUUCAUUCAAGGAGGCUCCCUGGAUGGUCCUGGGAGGGCUCCCCAACACCUCAGUGGCCCCUCCAAUGCUGCAAUGUGUUUCUGGGGUCCUGAACACCUGCUGGCCAACAGACCCCACACCCACCCUCCUUCAUUGUCAUCUCUGUGGGGACAGACAAGAGCCGUGGCCGCCAUGGGCCAUGGGGUGCCCUCAACCCUCUGCCUUCCUACCCAGCCUGAGACAGGAAGGCCGCCAGCUGGGAGCACCACGGGACUGAUCCAAGGAAGGCGUGGGGAGUGUGGUGACAGGAGAUGGGACGAGGGGGCAGAGCCAGCUGGAACAUGGAUGCCAGAGGCUGCCUCCGUAGUGCAUCUCCAGAAGUCACAGAGGCCCUGAGCGCCCAGAGCCACCUGAGCCACCUGAGCCACCUGGCCUGGAAGCCCCUGCGCAGGCCAGACCUGCAGGCCAUGGACCCCAGCAGGAACCGAAGCCUCACCCCAAGCCUUCAUACACAAGGAGCAGCCCAGGUGAGGGACGGCGGAUGCACCUGUGGCUCUACUGGUGCAAGAAGGGAACCGUCGUCCAAGAAGCUGACAGAGAGGAAGCAGUGCAUUGGUGAAGGCAACGUUAGGUGUGAUUUCCAUUCCUGCUGGGAGACCCAGGUCACAGCCCGGGAGCUUCGUCCAGCCUGUGGAUGGAGCCUGACUGCCUGCAGAUGGAACUUCUGUGUCCUCCCACCCUUGGUGGUCUAAGGUUAUUGCUCUCAGAGCUGAAUUGACAGGAGGUGUGUGUGUGCACGCUCACUUGUGUGCACAUGCCUGCGUUUAUGCGUGUUUUCACUCAACCAGAAGAGCAAUUCAUGGGAUUUAGCCGUUUUGAGGCACCUAGAAGUUGAGGCAGUUAGAUGUGCAGCCAGGUGUGAAUGUAACGUGCACCAUUGUAUAAAGGAGGUGACUCGGUUGCUGCAGGGAGGAUUGGGUUGUCUGGAAGUAUUAGGUUCAUUUUAUAUUUGUGUCAGAAGAAAUGUCUGACUUUGGGGCAGAUGACAUAGUGGCCGCGGCCCAGGCAUGGUUCCCUAGGUUGAAAUCAGGGAAAAGCUAAUACUAUCAGACAGGUAUGCGUUUUCUUUGGUGGCUGCAGGGUUUCUGCUGGAAAAUGCACUAUUAAUCAGCACUUGUCCAAGAAAGACCCAUCCGUUUCUGUUGUCAUUCAAGCCACAGUUCCUGAUUUACUCAGACAAGAUACUGGGCCAGUUCAAUGUCUCUAGCUGAGCCUGACCUUGGGGUUUGCGUCUCAAGUCUGAAAUCUUGUUCAGUCCUCUGUGCAUAGUUUUGUCUCAUUUUAAUGACUGCAUCUUCUUGGUACAUUUAUUAUACUCAGAACUGAAUGGCACACAAUAGCCUUGUGUUAAUAAAAGCUACCGUAGCACUAUGGGUGAACCGCUGAGUUGAAGUCCGAUGGACUCUACGAUGCAGGUAUCCAGAAAUACGUUGUAACUCUACCUGCCUCCCUGCCAGCCUGGCUCCUCCUCUGGGGGAGCUCCUGGCGUGGUCCUAGUGUUGUCCUGCAUGGGAACAACAGCUGCAUGGGCCAGCUGUUUUGGAUCUAAAGAUGUGCAGUGAAACUCAGAUUCACAUCCCUCAUGUUUAUUUGGGUCAUCAUGGUUUUGCAUGUUGUAUAUAUGUCUGGUGCACUUCAUACACCUCUAUCCACCACAGGCACUCUUAAUCACAGUCUGUAAUAGUAAUAAGGCAAACUAUACAGCAAAGAGAAGCAUGUAAAUAUGUACCAAUUCUUAUGAAGUUGUAAUUGUUUAUAUGUAAAAAGUAUGUAUAUACGAAAGGGAGAAGGUACAAGGAACGUGCUGAAUAACAUCCAAACUGCAUUGCAUCCCUGUCCCAUUCCUGAAAGCUCACAUCUAGUUGGAGCGUCAGUUCCUCUCCUCAGAUAUCAUUGUUCUCACUCUUCUAUCAUAGGCACCUUCUUUACAUCUGAUUACAAUAUCCAGCAUUUCAGAACUGGGUUUUUGCCCCCAAAAAGGUAAAUAUGAACAUUUAUCACUGACUCCUCCUGGUCCAGUGAGCAGCAGCAGAAUUCAAGUAUUUAAAAAUAAGGUGCAUUUCUAAAUUGUAGGCUAUACCUUCUUUUUCCAAACCAAUGGGCUAGAGUGAAUUUCCUCUGAGUACUUGGGCUGUCUUACUGCUAGCUUUUCUAACAGGGGAAGUCUGUAUAAAUGCAUCAUCCGCUAAUAACGCAAGAGGAAGGACCCUGAAAUGUGGCCAGAAAUGCUUACUGUGUAACCAGGACAUCAACAUUUACAUCAUAUUGUAUUAACAUCAUCACACUCUGUGCUCAACACACAGAACAACAUAGAUACUUCAGUUUGUCUAAAGUAAAAAUCCACGUAAAUCGCAGAUUUCUUUGUUGACACCAGUGUGUUGUUUACCUUGUGCCCACGGUCCAGAUUUUGAGCUGGAGAAGGACUAUGGCUGUUCCUUAAAGUCUCUGCCCUGGCAGAAUCUGUAGCCUUCAGGAUACCCCGAGUGCCUUACAGGGCUUGUGAACACCGACAGUAGAAGUCAAAAAGAAGAGAGUGCCCAAGCGUGGGUUUGGAGGCACUGAUGCAUUCGCCAACACUCACUGUCAUCCCAAAACCCUGAGAGGGAGUAUGUGUUUUAACACAGAGUGGAAUUUAAGUUUAGGCUCAGGAAACUCAUAUUCUGAAUAUAGGUAUCAAAUCAUAUAUUUGUUUACUGUAUAUUUUUUAAAAAGCUUUAUUGUAAAUUUAUGCAAAAACUAACCGGCCCAUUUUCUUAUGGCAGCAUGCCGAGCAGUGUGUGUGUCCUCCCAGGCACUCCCUUCAUAGUCACCCUCUAACCACGUGACAUUCUGUUCAGUGCUAGUCCGUAUUCACAGGCCUAACGUAGGUUUGUAUGGUGAUCUACGAGAUUUUACACAUAUUUUUGUAUUGUGAUUCCUAUGAUAUAUACCAGAGAAUUUUUACUCAUUUGUAAAUUAUUGUACAGUUUUAAUAAAAAAUGUUUUAAAUCUUAGACGAUUAAAGUCCCUUCAAAGGUAUUAAAGUUUGAACUGAAAGCCGUAUGAGCCAUUUCUGCACUUCUGAGUUCAUUCCCUGAACAGUGCCUCUGAACACCAAAAACGGGGUCUGCGCCUUCCGCCCACUGUGGAGGAAAGCCCCAGGUCUCACCUGCGAGAUCACCUGGAGGGCAAGCUCUGCAGUCAGGGGUGCCCGGCAGCACCUGGCUCAGGUCGACCACCUGGGAGACUCCCUCCUGUGGCUGUUGGUCAAAUGUGAACCAUCGAAGAGAUCGAACAAUUAGGAAAGGGACGGAACUUCUGCACAUGCAUGAGAACAGUUGGGGAUGUUUGCCGUGGACGGUCCCACAGGUGAGUAACAGACAUAUUAAUCAUUGAGGGGUGGGGGAGCCAGAGGAGGACGAGGGGGUGGGAAGCUGCUCGACCUAGCUCUGCUGGCUCAGGCCCCGCCAGUACUCGAGGUGACUCAGUGUCCGAACUCUGGCUUUGAAGUGCGGACUGCGCUAACAACGCAAAGGCCCGAAGUCUCUGGGUUCAAAUUCAGCCGUUGCAGGCUGGGUAGAGUGAAAGAUGGAGUGACAGCAUAGCCCCCUCACCCCUGUCUCACCCCAAGCCUCUAACUCGGCUUUAAGGGAGAUCAGCAGCAGUUUGCGUGGGCAGGUACCCC
ensembl:lincRNA